AACGAACGCUGGCGGCAUGCCUAACACAUGCAAGUCGAACGAGACCUUCGGGUCUAGUGGCGCACGGGUGCGUAACGCGUGGGAACCUGCCCUUAGGUUCGGAAUAACUCCCCGAAAGGGGUGCUAAUACCGGAUAAUGUCUUCGGACCAAAGAUUUAUCGCCUUUGGAUGGGCCCGCGUUGGAUUAGCUAGUUGGUGGGGUAAAAGCCUACCAAGGCGACGAUCCAUAGCUGGUCUGAGAGGAUGAUCAGCCACACUGGGACUGAGACACGGCCCAGACUCCUACGGGAGGCAGCAGUGGGGAAUAUUGGACAAUGGGCGAAAGCCUGAUCCAGCAAUGCCGCGUGAGUGAUGAAGGCCUUAGGGUUGUAAAGCUCUUUUACCCGGGAUGAUAAUGGCAGUACCGGGAGAAUAAGCUCCGGCUAACUCCGUG
rnacentral:rRNA from 1 species